rnacentral:tRNA from 1 species
CGGGGUAUAGCGCAGUUGGUAGCGCGCAUGGUUCGGGACCAUGAGGCCGCUGGUUCGAGUCCAGUUACUCCGACCA